rnacentral:rRNA from 1 species
UACGUAGGUGGCAAGCGUUGUCCGGAAUUAUUGGGCGUAAAGCGCGCGCAGGUGGUUUCUUAAGUCUGAUGUGAAAGCCCACGGCUCAACCGUGGAGGGUCAUUGGAAACUGGGGAACUUGAGUGCAGGAGAGAAGAGUGGAAUUCCACGUGUAGCGGUGAAAUGCGUAGAGAUGUGGAGGAACACCAGUGGCGAAGGCGACUCUUUGGCCUGUAACUGACACUUGGAGGCGCGAAAGCGUGGGGAGCAAACAGGGA